AGUGAACGCUGGCGGUAGGCCUAACACAUGCAAGUCGAACGGCAGCACAGUAAGAGCUUGCUCUUACGGGUGGCGAGUGGCGGACGGGUGAGGAAUACAUCGGAAUCUACUUUUUCGUGGGGGAUAACGUAGGGAAACUUACGCUAAUACCGCAUACGACCUACGGGUGAAAGCAGGGGAUCUUCGGACCUUGCGCGAUUGAAUGAGCCGAUGUCGGAUUAGCUAGUUGGCGGGGUAAAGGCCCACCAAGGCGACGAUCCGUAGCUGGUCUGAGAGGAUGAUCAGCCACACUGUAACUGAGACACGGUCCAGACUCCUACGGUAGGCAGCAGUGGGGAAUAUUGGACAAUGGGCGCAAGCCUGAUCCAGCCAUACCGCGUGGGUGAAGAAGGCCUUCGGGUUGUAAAGCCCUUUUGUUGGGAAAGAAAAGCAGCAGGUUAAUACCCCGCUGUUCUGACGGUACCCAAAGAAUAAGCACCGGCUAACUUCGUG
rnacentral:rRNA from 1 species